rnacentral:lncRNA from 1 species
CUUUCCUCUAAAAUAUGGCCUCCUUUUCUCCCCCUUUUAAAAUAUUCUCCCCUCCUCCUCACCUAUUCUGUAGAUUCUUCUGUUUCUGAGACCACAGUAAUCAUCCUCCCCUCGUUACUAGCCAUUCAUUUUACCCUAGCACAUCAUACACAUUUCUCUAUUCCCCUUUUUUCUUCUCCCUCUCCCAUGUACUUCCUCAUAUUAUAACAUAGUGCUGAUAUGGUAUAGCUUCUAGAGAAAUAUAGCAGUGGUAUUGGGGUCCCCUGACCUUGGGAGGCUUGUGUUCUAACAAUAAAUCAUUAGUCCUAAAUCUUCUGGCUUUGGAAACUCCCAUACCCAAUCUGCCUGAUUUGGAGAUCACUCCUCAAUUCAUUGCUGACUGGUAAUCUUGUCAGUAAUAAUCUGGUCAUCUGAGAACUACUCUUCCUGGAGGCCACUCCUUCCUACCUAUGAGCCAUAGAAUUGGAGUAUCUAUGAUUAAAAGCUGUAUAAAUGUAUCUUCUUGCUGGCUGAAUUCCCUUAGAAAUUAAGCCUGCUUUGUAAUGGAAUUACUUACAAUAAAACUUUUCCCCUUGGCUAAAGAGAUGGAUUCAAGUCUGCAAAUUCUUUUGAGACACAUUGUGAUACUGGUCUAGGACCCCAAACUUUUGGGGUCCCUCCUUCCCAAUCUCAACUAUCCCAUACAAAAAAAGAAAAGCAUUGAUUAACCUGAAAGUGAGGUGUGGUUAGGUUCUGUUCAUAAUGUUCCCUAUCUUCCAAAUCACUAUCGAUCAGAGAAAUGCAAACUAAGACAACUCUGAGAUAUCACUACACACCUGUCAGAUUGGCUGAAUGUUGGAGGGGAUGUGGGAAAACUGGGACACUGAUACAUUGUUGGUGGAGUUGUGAACGAAUCCAACCAUUCUAGAGAGCAAUCUGGAAUUAUGCUCAAAAAGUUAUCAAACUCUGCAUACUUUUUGAUCCAGCAGUGCUACUACUGGGCUUAUACCCCAAAGAAAUACUAUAGAAGGGAAAGGGACCUGUAUGUGCACGAAUGUUUGUGGCAGCCCUGUUUGUAGUGGCUAGCAGCUGGAAAAUGAAUGGAUGCCCAUCAAUUGGAGCAUGGUUGGGUAAAUUGUGGUAUAUGAAUGUUAUGGAAUAUUAUUGUUCUGGAAGAAACGACCAGCAGGAUGAAUACAGAAAGGCUUGGAGAGACUUACAUGAACUGAUGCUGAGUGAAAUGAACAGAACCAGAAGAUCAUUCUAUACUUCAACAACGAUACUGUAUGAGGAUGUAUUCUGAUGGAAGUGGAUUUCUUCGACAAAGAGAAGAUCUAGCUCAGUUUCAAUUGAUCAAGCUACACCCAAAGAAAGAACACUGGGAAAUGAGUAUAAACUGUUUGCAUUUUUGUUUUUCUUCCUGGG